UACGUAGGGGGCAAGCGUUGUCCGGAUUCAUUGGGCGUAAAGAGCGUGUAGGCGGCCAGGUAGGUCGGUUGUGAAAACUGGAGGCUCAACCUUCAGAGGUCGACCGAAACCAUCUGGCUAGAGUCCGGGAGAGGAGAGUGGAAUUCCCAGUGUAGAGGUGAAAUUCGUAGAUAUUGGGAAGAACACCGAUGGCGAAGGCAGCCAUCUGGACCGACACUGACGCUGAGGCGCGAAAGCGUGGGGAGCGAACAGG
rnacentral:rRNA from 1 species